rnacentral:rRNA from 1 species
AUUACCGCGGCUGCUGGCACGGAGUUAGCCGGUGCUUCUUCUGCGGGUAACGUCAAUCGACAAGGUUAUUAACCUUAUCGCCUUCCUCCCCGCUGAAAGUACUUUACAACCCGAAGGCCUUCUUCAUACACGCGGCAUGGCUGCAUCAGGCUUGCGCCCAUUGUGCAAUAUUCCCCACUGCUGCCUCCCGUAGGAGUCUGGACCGUGUCUCAGUUCCAGUGUGGCUGGUCAUCCUCUCAGACCAGCUAGGGAUCGUCGCCUAGGUGGGCCAUUACCCCGCCUACUAGCUAAUCCCAUCUGGGUUCAUCCGAUAGUGAGAGGCCCGAAGGUCCCCCUCUUUGGUCUUGCGACGUUAUGCGGUAUUAGCCACCGUUUCCAGUAGUUAUCCCCCUCUAUCGGGCAGAUCCCCAGACAUUACUCACCCGUCCGCCACUCGUCACCCAGGGAGCAAGCUCCCCUGUGCUACCGUCCGACUUGCAUGUGUUAGGCCUGCCGCCAGCGUUCAAUCUGAGCCAGGAUCAAACUCU